rnacentral:rRNA from 1 species
GACGAACGCUGGCGGCGUGCUUAACACAUGCAAGUCGAACGGAAAGGCCCUGCUUUUGUGGGGUGCUCGAGUGGCGAACGGGUGAGUAACACGUGAGUAACCUGCCCUUGACUUUGGGAUAACUUCAGGAAACUGGGGCUAUACCGGAUAGGAGCUCCUGCUGCAAGGGGGGGGGUUGCAAGUUUCGGGGGUUGGGGAUGGACUCGCGGCUUAUCAGCUUGUUGGGGGGGUAGUGGCUUACCAAGGCUUUGACGGGUAGCCGGCCUGGGAGGGUGACCGGCCACAUUGGGACUGAGAUACGGCCCAGACUCCUACGGGAGGCAGCAGUGGGGAAUAUUGCACAAUGGGCGGAAGCCUGAUGCAGCAACGCCGCGUGCGGGAUGACGGCCUUCGGGUUGUAAACCGCUUUCGCCUGUGACGAAGCGUGAGUGACGGUAAUGGGUAAAGAAGCACCGGCUAACUACGUG